CACCUCCUGGUGCUCGCCACAGGCUUGUUCUCACACUGACUGUAACUAAAGAGGAGGCAGAGUAAGCCUGCCCUACAUAUACCUGAGCCCAGGCCCCAUGCCUGGUCUGUAUUGUGAAUGGGGGAACAUGG